UCCGGCGAGGGAGAAUAGUCGCCUUCAAUCCGAUCUAUCCUGCCAAUUGGUCUUUUUUCAUCUUCGUUCGUGCUGAUUUGUUGUUGUUAGGAGAAGCUUGCGAGUUCAUCAUCCAAGAUGAGGGCUAAGUGGAAGAAGAAGAGAAUGAGAAGGUUGAAGAGGAAGCGCCGAAAGAUGAGACAAAGAUCCAAGUAGGUGCAGGAGCUGAAA